rnacentral:rRNA from 1 species
CAGUAGCCGCGGGAAUACGUAGGGUGCAAGCGUUAAUCGGAAUUACUGGGCGUAAAGCGUGCGCAGGCGGUUUGUUAAGACAGAUGUGAAAUCCCCAGGCUCAACCUGGGAACUGCAUUUGUGACUGGCAGGCUAGAGUAUGGCAGAGGGGGGUGGAAUUCCGCGUGUAGCAGUGAAAUGCGUAGAUAUGCGGAGGAACACCGAUGGCGAAGGCAGCCCCCUGGGCCAAUACUGACGCUCACGCACGAAAGCGUGGGGAGCAAACAGGAUUAGAUACCCCAGUAGUCCCUGUCUCUUAUAC